GACAGAGGGGGCAAGCGUUGCUCGGAAUAGCUGGGCGUAAAGGGCGCGUAGGCGGGAUGGCAAGUCAGUCGUGAAAUCUCUCGGCUCAACCGAGAAACGUCGGCUGAUACUGCCGUUCUUGAGGGAUGCAGAGGAGACUGGAAUUCCCGGUGUAGCGGUGAAAUGUGUAGAGAUCGGGAGGAACACCGGUGGCGAAGGCGGGUCUCUGGGCAUCUCCUGACGCUGAGGCGCGAAAGCGUGGGGAGCAAACGGG
rnacentral:rRNA from 1 species